CAGCUCCGGGAUGAGUCGAGAGCAGCGGGAGGCAGGCCCGCCCGGGGGCGGGGCUCAGGAACGGAGUUUCCUCUGAGAGGAUGAAGGCUGCGGGGAGCCGGGCAGGCGAUGGAUCAGAUUCCUGCUCCGGAAAGCUGCCCCUGGCCGCGGAGGGAGAGCAGAGGCAAAGGCUGAAUUUAAAAAUUGCAGUCCCCUCCGUCACCAUCAUCACCAGCACUUCACCACCAUCAACUACCCCUGUGGCAGGAAAGGCACCAACGUUACCGUCUUCAUCGCCUUCACUACAAAUGCUACUGUGGUCGUCCUCAGCAGUGGCCACAGCCCGGAGGCCUUCACCACGAGGCUGUUGUCUCCAUGACUGCCCUCCAUGCUUGUUUCCCCGAAACCCCAGGUGGGCCAAGCUCUGUGCCCGGAGCUCCGCCUGCAUGCCCUCGUCUCACCAGCGUGCAGCCCUGGCCCCAGCCCUGCACGCGUGGGGUAGACACUCUUGUUGUGCCCUUUCUGCUGUUGCUGUCUUUGCUAAGUCGUGUCCAGCUGUUCGCGACCUCACGGACUGCAACACGCCAGGCCUCCCUGUCCUUCAUUAUCUCCCAGAGUUUGCUCAGACUCAUGUCCACUGAGUCGGUGCUGCCAUCCAACUGUCUCGUCCUCUCUCACCCCUUCUCCUCCUGCCCUCAAUCUUUCCCAGCAUCAGGGUCUUUUCUAAUGAGUCGGCUUUUCACAUCAGGUGCCCAAAGUGUUGAAGCUGAAGCUUCAGCAUGUCUUUCCAAUGAAUAUUCAGGGUUGAUUUCCUUUAGGAUGGACUGGUUUGAUCUCUUUGCUGUCAAGGGACUCUCAAGAGUCUUCUCCA
rnacentral:lncRNA from 1 species